rnacentral:rRNA from 1 species
AUUGAACGCUGGCGGCAGGCCUAACACAUGCAAGUCGAACGGGCCCUUCGGGGCUAGUGGCGGACGGGUGAGUAACGCGUGGGAACAUACCCUUUGGUACGGAAUAGCCUCGGGAAACUGAGAGUAAUACCGUAUGUGCUCGAAAGAGGAAAGAUUUAUCGCCAAAGGAUUGGCCCGCGUUGGAUUAGGUAGUUGGUGGGGUAAUGGCCUACCAAGCCGACGAUCCAUAGCUGGUUUGAGAGGAUGAUCAGCCACACUGGGACUGAGACACGGCCCAGACUCCUACGGGAGGCAGCAGUGGGGAAUCUUAGACAAUGGGGGCAACCCUGAUCUAGCCAUGCCGCGUGAGUGAUGAAGGCCUUAGGGUUGUAAAGCUCUUUCAGUGGGGAAGAUAAUGACGGUACCCACAGAAGAAGCCCCCGGCUAAACUCCGUGCCAGCAGCCGCGGUAAU